rnacentral:lncRNA from 1 species
CGCCUCCUCCGUCCGAUGAGUGGGAGGGGAGGUCCCCGGCGACGAGGCGGCCCUGCGCCGAUGUGCGGAUGGACUUGAAGAGCCAGGGGAGCUCGAGGUCGCCGCAAGGCCAUGGCCACUUGAAGCAGACGAAGGAGGGUGGGCUUGGCGGCGGCGGCCAUCUCUCCGGCGAGAGAAGCGGUGGUAGCGCCGGCGAGGCGGCGGUGGCGGAUUGGUCGAGGACGUGGGGAUGAAUGGACGGCGCAGCGCGAGAUAUUGAAUUCGAUCCAACGGCUACAACUCGCUGAGAGAAAAUGGACAUUUUGGCCACGUUGAAGACUGAGUUUCGCUAUUAUACCAUCAUCAAAACAUGAUUCGAUAAAGAGCCAUUUUCAAGUACAGACUCGCCACAAUUGUGUCAUUUUUGCUGUUUUAGUGAUUUCCGAAAUGAUUUUCGCUCGGUUGUGUGGUGAUGAGAUAAAGAUGUCCUUGCUCACCGGCGAGAACUCCCCGAAGCCAGUCACUGAUGGUAAUCGUCGUCCAUGAGGACAGCCUUCAGCUCCGGCGGCACACGCAUCCCCCACUGCAACCGCAGGCUUGCCUUGCUCCACAAUGGCAACAUGCUCCUGGUCAUGAGGCGCAUCCCGGACAGCAUGGCGCUGGCCCAGCCGCCGCUCUUCCCCGUGGCGGCCAUGUUUGCCGCGCCCCGUGGUCGUCGUCAUUGACGAGCGAGAAGUAGCCAAUACCGAGGCCAGUGCGGACGGAGAGGGUGGAGAGGGUGAAGGGAUGGAGCUAGCCAUUAGGGUGGUACGGUGGUACGAGAGACGGAGCGCCGGUCUGGAGGCGAAGGUAGAGAUCCAACGCAGGCAUCGCCACGGCGCCGUCGAAGGCAAAGGCAUCUCCCAUGCAGGCAUUGUAUCUCCACUACCACGUUGUGGAGGUAGUUAUCGAUGGGUCCAGCUAUGCCGUCGGCCUUGGUGGUUCGCCGCACGCACCCAUGAUCACAGUCGCCACCGGGGGAGUUCAAUUCCGUGCGACGCACGCGACCAUGACUAGAUGAGAAGCGUGGUCGCGCGGGGACGCCAUCGCAGAGGUUCGGUGGAAGGAGUCGGUCGGGGACAAUGUGUUCCGCCUCGUGGCCGAGCCCCACCUAGGCGCACCGCUGGCCAAUGGGCAUCAUCAUCGCCAUGACGCCAUCAACGAGAUGUAAAGAGAUCGAUUGAGCUCGCUGCAAGGGGAUAACAAGCUCGGGGUCCCACCUGCCACUAGGGGCAUAAGGCAUUUCCGUCCCAUCACCCCGCAGCUGGGCAAAUUUCGUUUUGGAAACGGGCAAAAUUCAUUUUGGAAACGAAUAAAUCAGUGAAAAUGGCACUUUGGCUAAUAAAGCAUGCUCGAAAAUGGCAUUUUAUUGAAUCACAUUUUGAGGAUGGUAUAAUAAUGAAACCCAGUUUUGAAUAUGGACAAAUGUUCGGCGCUCACUGGACGCGGCCUCUACUUUUACAAUAUUUUCAAAAAAAAAACCCCAAUGUAGUAAACAUUUACGUAUAUGGGUCGCUUCUCGCUACCAUUUGGCAGCGAUCUGAAUAAUAAUAUUUUCAUAAAACCCCCUAACAUAGACCGCUGCCAAGUGUGCUAGCUGUCACGCCUUUUUUUUUUCUGAAAUGAACCCUGGUUCGAUCUCAAUUCAUACCCCCAACCCUUUACUCCUGCUCUGGCGCCAGUGGAAUAUUUUGCUCCCUCCGCUCGCGUGGCUGGAAUUCUUUGCAGAGUCCUUUGGAACAAGGUUCGAGGGAUUUUGGUAGGAUUUUUAAAGGAUUCAAUUUUAUAGGAACAUUUUCUACAUGGUCCUUUGGAUUGAAGAGUUGGGCCGUGUUUAGUUUGGAAGUUUUUCUUUAAACUUCUAACUUUUGCAUCACAUCAAAAUUUUCCUACACACACAAACUUUUAACUUUUCCGUCAUAUCGUUCCAAUUUUAACCAAACUUCUAAUUUUGUCGUGAACUAAACACGGCCUUGGGCUAGUAAAUUUUCUGUGGAAUCAUUCAUUACCUUUAUUUGCCUUCCAGAGGACCAAAUAUCUUAAAAGUUCACCAGCUACAGUUAACAUACGGCGACAUUGGCUUAUAAAGCAGCACAAUAGCUACAAACUUCAACAAUCUAAUCUGGAAGCUGUGGGCACGAGAGAUCUCGAUAGUUGGCUUUCUUUUUAAUUGCUCAGACCAAAGGUCCUGAGCCUUGGUUUUUUAUUUCACAUUUGUAAAGUUUACUCCUCUGUUCAAAGAAAUUGGCAGCUUGUCGAUUCGCUAAAAAAACAAAUUUGCUGGAUUUGAAUAUGAGCUCUAACCUUAUGUUAUUGAUUUCCAUGGAGAAGUCCAAGGCAUUUUUUUUUCUAUUCAUCUUUCCUCCUAACUCUGUUCUAAGGACUACUUCGGUUCAUAGUAAUAGGAAAAACAUAGAAAUUGCCAAAGAAUACAUGGGCAAAACAAAGAGUAGGAAAAAUGUAAAAUAGUCUUUUGGAUGGUUGGUAGGAAAAAUGCAGGAAUGCUUAAUAUUAAGUUAACAUGAUUUGGAUUUAAUCUAUAAAACUUGGUGCUAAAUACAUAUAAAAGUGAGUGCUUUGCUUCGAUCCUAUGUGUAGCAAUAGUAAAUAAGGAGAAGAAAAGACUACAUGUUAUAACUAGCAAAGGCCUGGUAGUAAUUUACAUAAAAAAAAAAGAGAAAAGACUACAUGUGGGGAUGGGCCUCUGGCUGGGCCAGUUCGUAGCCAUGAGCAAGUUUAAUCUAUACAUAUGUAACGAAUUUUUUUCAUUUUUAAUUUUAAUUUUUUUAAUAUUUACAAAAAUAUUAUACCAUCCAAAAUAUUUACAGAAAUGACCAUGCCGCCCAAGUGGAGGACAGCAAGUGUGCACAUUUUGUACUUAGGUCCCUUGCUGCCUUCUACAAGGGCUGCAAGCAAUGGUGAAGUGCUUUUUACUCCCAGUUCGUAACCGGGACUACGAAUUCGGGACUAAAGAUCGCUAUCUUUAGUCCCGAUACAAAUAACCGGAUUAAAGAUGGAUCUUUAGUCCCGGUUGGUGUUCAUUAAAGAUCCCUCUUUAAUAGCGGUAGUUCCAGACGGUCUCUUUUUCCUUUUUUUUAUUUUCUCCCAAAUCAAGUGGGAAGCAUAUCUAUUUUCUCCAUGGGAGCAUGGGACAUAUGGGAGUAGGAGGCGAAAAGGCAGCCAUCUGCGCUAUCUUUCUUCCCUCCCCACCACGGCACCACAUACCACCCAAUAUAGCACUCAGCCUGUGUGACUGUUCUGGGUCCACACCUUUGUUAAUCGUCGGCUGAGAGCAAGCUUAAGUCUAAGUUUAAUAGUAUAGCCAACUUAAUAGUCAAUAUAGCCAACUACUAGCUCCAAAUCACAUAUAGUCAACUUAAUAGUCAAUUCAUAUAAUAGUUACAUACUACACUAUUAAUACCUGGUCCCACUUAUCAUACACACACUGUGUCUUAAAGUCCGUGCUACAGCUGGCUAUAAAUCUAUAGCUCGCUGCUCUUCUCUCUCCUUCUUUUAUCUUCUUAAAAUAGAUUUAUAGCUAGCUUAUAGCCUGCUAUUGUACCUGCUCUAUGCUCUAAGAUCGUUCUAAAUAGCGCAUGUCGUCUAGCGAUGUGCUAUAUGCUCCACAGCAGGGACGGAUCCAGGAAAGAUUAACAGGAGGGUCUGAACAAACUAUAUAAAGUUAUAGUCCCUUCGUUUAAUAGAUGUAUGACAUAAAAUUUUAGUGGGGUCUUUAUGGGUUCUCCCAUGGUUACAAUACAGGUAGUGGGGUCUCGAGACCCCAGGGACCCCAUGGUGGAUCCGCCACUGUUUCGUAGGCUGCAGCUGGAGAUAGAUAAAAUCAAGCUGCCACUUGGGCCUGGUUUAGUUCAUAACUUUUUCUUCAAACUUCCAACUUUUCCAUCACAACAAAACUUUCCUACAUACACAAACUUCCAACUUUUCCAUCACAUCAUUUCAAUUUCAACCAAACUUUCAAUUUUAACGUGAAAUAAACACACCAUUGGUUGUUUGGAUUAACACUGCUCGAGCUGUUUGGAAUCUUCACCUCGAGCUAGCAGGCCUGGUACGCUUCUAUAGGAGUCUAGUCAAAAUUGGUUAUAUAGCAUUGAAAGUUCAUGUUUUUGGUUUUAUAGCACCAAAAGUUACCAGUUCACUUUAAUAGCAUCCAAAGUUCACCAUGUUCCUAUUUUUAGCACUUCCGUCAAUUUUUCCAUCCGUCUUGAUCGUUAUUAUCCAGCCACACACAUGAUAUGACAUUUCUACCCCUCAUUGACAUGCAUUAUACUUGUACUUGUGAGGGGUAGAAACGUCAUAUCGUGUGUGUGGCUGGAUCAAGACGGACGGAAAACGAUCGAGAAUUGACGGAAGUGCUAAAAAUGGGAAUAUGGUGAACUUUGGGUGCUAUUAAAGUGAACCGGUAACUUUUGGUGCUAUAAAACCAAAAACGUAGAAACGUCAUAUCGUGUGUGUGGCUGGAUCAAGACGGACGGAAAACAAUCGAGAAUUGACGGAAGUGCUAAAAAUGUGAACAUGGUGAACUUUGGAUGCUAUUAAAGUGAACCGGUAACUUUCGGUGCUAUAAAACAAAAAACGUGAACUUUCGAUGCUAUAUAACCAAUUUUGCCGAGACUCGUCUAUUUCUACAUGCUAAAUAAUCUUCAUCCAUAUAAUCUGAACCACCAUGAUAUAAUGACAAACAAUAAACACUUACUCUUUUCUCCAUUGAUAUGGCGAUUUAUAUGCCUCUAAUCUAAACGUGGUGAUAUUUCUUUUUUAUACCUUAUGACAACACUAGAAAAUGGACGCGCCACUUGGUGCGCGGGAUAUUUAUUGCUCCUUUGUAGCAUAUAAAUAUUAUCGGGUUCUUUUAUAGAAUUAAUUAUUUAGUUUAUAUUUGAAACAAAAGAUAUAUAUUCAAAAUGGCUGAUGCUUUAUUUGUUAGCUUUUACUUAUUUUUUUUAAGCCAAUGAUAUUUUCUAUUUGAGCAAUAAUAUUUUUAAGUGAUGUUUUGAUAAGUAUUGUUAUACUUACCAUGCAAAGUAUUUUGAUGGUACAUCAUGUUUUUUAAUAUUUAUAUUUUCUUUUAAACAAAUAGCGAUCAAGGAUAAAGUGAAUGUUGGGGGUAUAAUACUUUAGAGUUUGCAAAAUUGGGGGUAUAAUACUUAAAGGCAAUUUAUAUUUUCUUUUAAACAUUAGCACUUAAUUAAUUAUUAUUAUUUCUUUAAUUAAUACCAUUACUAAUUAUUAAUUCUAAUCAGUAUGAUUAAUUGCGUCAUUAGUGGCCAUUCCGGCCAUCUCGCUCGAUCGGCCAACCAACACUGGUGGAGAAACCCUUUGUAGUCCCGGUUCGUAACCCCCCUUUAGUCCCGGUUUCCAAACCGGGAGUACCAAUCCGGGACUAAAGAUCGCUAUCUUUAGUCCCGGGUGAAAUAACCGGGAGUAAAGAUCGAUCUUUAGUCCCGGUUGGUAACACCAACCGGGACUAAAGAUGGCUCAGCCACGUGGCCGGCUGAGCCAUCUUUAGUCCCGGUUGGUGUUACCAACCGGGACUAAAGAUCGAGCUGACCAUUUUUUUUUUUGCAUGGCCCUGUUGCUGCAUGGUUUAUAUAUAUAUAUAGUUUAUAUAUAUAUAUAUAUAUAAACCAUGCAUAUAUAUGUUUCAAUACAUAUAUAUGCAUACAUAUAUAUAUAUGUAUAUAUAUAUAUAUUAUAUUAUAUUAUAUGUAUAUACAUGCAUAAUAUAUAUGUAUUUAUACACAUAUAUAUGUUAUGCAAAUUAAUGCAUAUGUAUAUAGAUAUAUAUAUAUGACCAAAAUAUAUUUACAUUAUAGAAAAUGUGUACACAUGCAUAUAGAAACAUAUGUAGUCAUGUAUUAAUUACAAUCCAUUAUAUGUCCUAGCUAGCUAGCUAUCAUUUCGACGUAGUAGUACUCGCUGCUAGCUCAGAAGCUAAGGACCGGUGAAUUGUGUUUCCGUCGUAGUAGAAUUCACCCUUGGGAUUAAGGAUUUCUUCGUUGAUGAAUCCCAUGAGUUGUUCUUGAACCGCCGUGAUAAAUUCCUUGUGUGUGGUCAGGUUAUCCCUCAUGCGAAUAAACUAUAUGAAUGUAUGAAAUUGAUUAGUAAUUAAACAAGAAAUCGCUACGUAAUGAAAUUUUGAAUUUAUUUGUACGUACAUCGAGCUCUCUUGUGGUGAUGAUUUGGUUUGCAAGGCAGUGGCAAUACUCGCACACGUAAUAGCCGCACAAGUUAUUUCCCUGCUUUUGCUUUGCGCACUACAAAUAAAUGACAAACAACGAGAGAUCUAAUUAAUAUACACUUGUAUGUAUUUGAAUCGGAGAAAUAUAAAUAUAGAGCAUGUGUACUCACAGGAAAUUUGAACUUCCGCCUAAGUCUUUCUCUCCAUUUGCCGCGGACCAAAUGACGGAACCGAUACCAAGCCCUACAUGGAGUUUAAAGCUAUGAUUCGUAGUAGCAAUUAACAUAACAAGAUUUUCUUAAUUAACAAAGGAACUUAUGACGGUACCUGUCUAUAAGUUCGAAAACCUUGUCAAACGUAGACUCUUUUUUAUCCAUUGAGUCAUAUACGUUGACGGUGCAGGCCUCCAGGUCGAAGAGUAAAAGCACCCAGUGGAAUCUGCAAUGUGCGUGGGAUGCAUUACAUAUGAAACACUUAGCAAGUUCGUACGGGAAUGAAAUUUGGUAUGUAGGAAGACAGUAAAAUUAAACUAACUCUGUGUUGUAUGGCAACAGUAUGAACGUCUUGUAAUGCUGCGCCUUCAGGAGAUGGACGAGAUUGUCCUCUGUUUCUUGUGGAUAUUGGUCGAGCAUUGCGACGUUUACUCUCCGAGGGUCGAUGAAUCCAGUAUCGAAAACCCUCCGCCGUCGGGCCCUUUGAAUCUCCAUUCUACAACGAUAAAAGGGAGUAUAUUAUUUUCUAUAGUCUACUUAUAUACAAGGACCUAAUUUAUUAAAGGAGACGUAUAGUAAGAAAUCUAACCGAACGAUAUACUUACAAAAUCCAGCAACUCAUAAUAGAGACGUCGAGGGCGUCCAGCUGGUAUAGUUCGUAGAUUCCCUUGAAAUUGAUCCAGAGAAUGUCAUCUCCUUGCAAGAAGUCCGUGUCCCUGAUCCUCGCUCCGAUCAUCUCUCUACCGGCGGCGCUCAUCUCCAUGUACAGCUGAUGGAACUUGUACAUUUGUGUGGGUAGGGACUGCAGCAGCUCAGGCUUGACAAGCGGUUUACCGAGUUCGUACAUGUAUUUCACUUCCGCCUUUUCGAUUGGUGCGACUCCUAGCAAUUGAUCCGUAGUUAGACCGGUGUCAGUAAUAAAUUGUUCUAUCGUCAUUUCUUUACCGGUAACCAACGGCUCGAUCUCCUGUUUUGGUUGCUCUCCAAGCUGAGGGACUGGUUUGGACUUUCCAGAAGAUGCUUUCUUCAGCGUUCGCUCAUAGUCCGAUAGCUUGAUGGCCUCCUUGACAGAUGCAGACAUACCCCUGAAGAAGUUCCUGACACUGGGGUCUAUAGGAAUCUUCUUUUCUGGACUUCGAGGCUUGAAUUGUCUCUUGACUUCUGAUGCAACGUAAGCGUCAAGCUCCUCUUGCGUGCAAUCGUACCCCGGGUCCUUGUUCUUGGCGGCGUCAACUUUCGCCUUCUUCGUUGCCCUUGUGUGGGCAGGCGGUGCAGCUGGGGGGGCCCUUGACUUUGAAGGUGCCGGAAGAGGAGCUUGCGGGGGAGUAGGUGUAGGAGCACGAGGAGGAGUCGGUGCAGGAUCCUGAGGAGGAGUCGGUGCAGGAUCCUGAGGAGGAGUCGAUGCUGGAGCCUGAGGUGGAGACGGUGCUGGCGGAGCAUGAGGAGGAGACGGUGCAGGAUCAUGAGGAGGAGAUGGCGGAGCCGGAGGAGAUGGUGCACGAGACGCCGCUUGUCGCCCAGGGAGGAUGAUGUACCGCCUGCGCCAUAGAAUAAUGGCAUGGCUUGUGUCUCGUAGAUGCGUCUCACCGUCUCCUCCAGGGUAAUCCAGCUCGAGGUCCUCGUACGCGCCUUCGACCAACUCAACUUCGACCUUCGAGUAUCCUGCUGGAAUCGGCCUGCAGUGGUAAGUACCUGAAGGGUCCGUUGGGAUGGCCAUGCCCGACGCCACCUUCAUGUUGUGAGAGAUUAUUUAUUAGUAAUCAACAUAUAUAAGCAGGAACUAGCGGAAUGGCUAAAUCUUACCUUUAUUGAUAAGUUCUUGAAAGGAAUAUGCAGCUCACAUGGUGUCCGCUGAGUGAUGUCAUCAACGGGACAGGUCGAUUCGUCCUGUGUUUGCAUGGCGUCCAUGCUCUGCGAUCCUACCUGCCCCGUUGAGGCGCAGCUGCUACGGUUUCCUGACGGGCUCACCAUUGCAGGAGGAAUGGUCGGCUGGGGAUCAUGGGACCGAUGUGCGGCCAUGCGUUCAUCAACCUUCCUUGCCACCUCCUCUUGCAUGUUGAGUUCGUAGCUCGAUACCCGGAACUCUAGGUCUGCAAUCUUCGCCUCGGUAUCUCUCUUGCUCCUCAUCCGACUCCUGUACGUGUGGAUGUCCUCCUUGAAACCAAUCUUCCAAGGAAUCACCCCUUUCCCUCGUGUUCGUCCUGGAUGCUCUGGAGUCUGCAGGGCGAGUGUCAGCUCGUCCCUAUCUCUGUCGGGUCGGAACGUGCCCUGAGAGGAGGCUUCCACUGCAUCUGUUAGUCGUUGCGCAGCCUCUCGUAUCUGAACGCCGAAUACCAGUGAGCCAUCAGCUGGGUUGAGCGUUCCACCGUGAGCAUAGUACCAGAACUUCGAUCGUUCCGGCCAAUUGGCUGUUGCCGGUUCGAUACCCCUCUCAAUCAAGCUAGCCUCCAUCUCCUCCCACUUCGGCAUCGCGACGCUAUAGCCUCCUGACCCCAAGUGGUGAUGGUACUUCUUCUUGGCGGCAUUUUCUUUGUUUCUUUCCAUCAUCGCCUGCCCUUGUUCACCUGUCUUAUAUGCAACGAACUCGUCCCAGUGAUCCCUUAGCUUUGGGAAUGUGUCGAAGUUCGGUGUCUGCCCCUUCAGUAUAUACUUCUUGUACAGAUCUCCCUUGAAGCUCUGAAACUGUUCUGCCAUUUUCUUCAGAGUCCACCUUUUCACUUUGUCCUCUGUACCCGCAGGAAGGGUGAAUGUCUCGAGCAUUGUGGUCCACAGCAUCUCUUUCUCCGAAUCUGGGACAAAGCUCUCAUGAUCUCCUCGUGCCCUUGUUCUUCGCCAGUACACCGUACUGACAGGCACGUUAUCCCGCACAACCCAACCGCUGUGACGUACAUAGUUCUUGGCGGCUUCGGCCGGGGCACUAGGACGUCCAUCUUCUUCCACUUCCGUUAUGAUGUGCCGACCCUCAAGCUUCUUCGCUGCACCUCGUUGCCCGCGUGCCCUCUUCUGUCCAACGGAGGGUUGACUACCACUAGCCUCCUCCUCCUGGUUCCCCUCCACAUCCCUUUCCACGUGCCCCUGCUGGUUCCCCUCCGCAUCCCUCUCCACGUUCCCUUCCUCGUUCAAGUACUGGUUUGGAUCCUCGUUCCCCUCUUCUUCAUUCCAGUACUGGCUGCUUCCCUCCGCGAUUGUAUCGUACAAUAUCUGUUCCUCAUCGCGGUCAGCCAUCUGUUGAUACAAGAAACAUCUGCUAAGUCACGAGACAUUUAUGUUUUAACAAUCUAAGUCAUGUAUGCUAAGUGUAAAUGUCGUACAUUAGAACCCUACACAAACUUACGUGCUAAGUCUAAUUACAAAUCGUGAUAUAAGCUAAGUCUAGGUGACGUAUAUUAUACAACCCUAGCUAGUAAAUAAUUAUAUACUAAGUCUAAUUACAAAUAAAGUAAUCUUAUAUUAAAACUCAAAUAAUAUUACAUGCUAAGACUAAAAUAGUCAUGUAUGCUAAGUGUUUCGUGCAUAUAUGCUAAGUCUAAUUAAGACAACAAUAGUCAAUUGCUACUUGUCGCACCAUUUCCGUAGUAAAUAAUUAUAUACUAAGUCUAAUCUCAAAUAAAGUAAUCUUAUAUUAAAACUCAAAUAAUAUUACAUGCUAAGACUAAAAUAGUCAUGUCUGCUAAGUGUUUCGUGCGUAUAUGCUAAGUGUAAUUAAGACUACAAUAGUCAAUUGCUACUUGUCGCACCACUUCCGUAGUCAAUAAUUAUAUACUAAGUCUAAUUACAAAUAAAGUAAUCUUAUAUAUAUAUUCAAAUAAUAUUACAUGCUAAGACUAAAAUAGUCAUGUAUGCUAAGUGUUUCGUGCGUAUAUGCUAAGUCUAAUUAAGACUACAAUAGUCAAUUGCUACUUGUCGCACCACUUCCGUAGUCAAUAAUUACAUACUAAGUCUAAUUACAAAUAAAGUAAUCUUAUAUUAAAACUCAAAUAAUAUUAGAACACUACACAAUCUUAUAUGAUAAGUCUAAUUACAGGUCUAAUAAUCUUAAUUAAUUGCAUUACAAAUAUAACAAUCAUUUAUAUUAUUACGUCACUUGCCUGCUCCAAUUCCUUCUAGGGCUAGCUCUUCCACUCAGGCUUGACGGACGACUCCGACAACACGUCUUUUCUGCAAGAUACAAAAAGAUGUAUAUAGUCAAAUGCGAAGUAACAUAUACAUAUAUAUAUAUAUACAUAUAUAUAUAUAUACAUAUAUAUAUAUAUACAUAUAUAUAUAUAUAUAUAUAUAUAUAUUGCAUUUCACGUUAACGUUCGUCCUCGUUCGUUCGCUCGUUCACGUUCCCUAGCUCGUUCACGUUCGUUCCCUCGUUCUCACUUGUCUUCGUUCGAUCGUUCUCGUUAUCGCUCUCGUUCGUUCGAUCGUUCUCGUUCUCGUUCACGUUCUCGCGGCAACAUACAUUGACGUGUUCGUUCUCGCUCUCGUUCGUUCGAUCGUUCUCGUUCUCGUUCACGUUCUCACGGCAACGUACGUUGACGUGUUCGUUCUCGCUUCUCGUUCGUUCGAUCGUUCUCGUUCUCGUUCGUUAAUGGCGGUGUGGCGGCAUCGGGGCGGCGGUUGGCGCCGUGGCGACGGCGGCGGCGUGGCGACGGCGUGGCGACGGCGGCGUGGCGACGGCGGCGGCGUGGUGACGGCGUGGCGACGGUGGCGUGGCGGCGGCGGCGUGGCGUUGCGGGGCCGUGGCGGCAUCGGGGCGGCGGUUGGCGCCGUGGCGACGGCGGCGGCGUGGCGACGGCGGCGGCGUGGCGACGGCGUGGCGACGGCGGCGGCGUGGUGACAGCGUGGCGACGGUGGCGUGGCGACGGCGGCGGCGGCGGCGUGGCGUUGCGGGGCCGUGGCGGCGGCGGCGUGGCGUGGCGGCGGCGACGGAGAGAGACGGAGAGAGAUCGAGCUGAGAUCGGAGAGAUCGAGAGAUAAAGGGAGAUCUGGCGGCGGCGGCUCUCACCCCAGAGAUGCGGCGGCAGCGGAGGAGGCGGAGGCGGCGGCGAGGACGACGAGCUCGAGACGACGGCGAGAUACGGCGGCGUCGGCGCGGGGAUUUGCCCUAGGCAGUGGCGGCGAAGGAGAGAGGCCGAGAGAGAUCGAUCGGCCGAAAACGUCUAAGUGUUGGUGAAGAAGACGAGGGCGCACCGGGAAUAUAUAUACCCCCGGAUCUUUACUCCCGGUUGUUCUCAACAACCGGGACUAAAGAUAUCUUUAGUCCCGGUUGUUCUCAACAACCGGGAGUAAAUAUCUUUUCCCGCUAUUUCGAAAUUCUUUUUAAACCCGGUUAGGGUUAAGAACCGGGACUAAAGAUUAUAGCACUGCAUAUGAUUUUCGCUUACAUAUGUGUUUAUAAAAUAGAAGUUAAUGCAUUAACAUUAUUUAAAGUACUAAAGAUUAAUGACAAUUACUUCGAAAAAUUAUUUUUGUCUGUAAUAAAUUAAGUGGAUAAAUCGUAAUAAGCAAAUAUAUGACUUAUAAUUAAUAAAAAUUCCAAUAUAUAUAUAUAUAUACUUAGCAUAUAUAUGAAUGAUAUUAUUAUAUUGGUAAAAACUCUAAUUAAGAUAUGUAUGUACAUACUGCAUGAUUUAAAAUUAAUAAAAAUUGUAAUCAUCAUAUAUACUUAGCGUAGGAAUUAUAUUAAAUUAAAUGCUAAAAACUCUAAUUAACAUAUGUAAAUGCCACAUGCAUGAUUUAAACCUUUUAAAAAUUCGAAUAGUCAUAUAUAAGUAGCAUAUGAAAGAUAGUAAAUUAAAUUGUGAAAAACUCUAAUAUAUGAAUGAUAGUUUUAAAAAUAUAUUAAAUUUAAUACUUUUAAAAAUUCUCCAGUCAAUUAUAAUUAGCAUAUGAAUGAUAGUAAAUUAAAUGUUAAAAACUCUAAUUAACAUAUAAAAUUGCCACUUGCGUGAUUUAAAACUUUUAAAAAUCCUCUAGUCAAUUAUAAUUAGCAUAUGAAUGCUAGUAAAUUAAAUGUUAAAAACUCUAAUUAACGUACAUAUGAAAUUGCCACCUGUGUGAUUUAAAACUUUUAAAAAUUGUAAGUAUCACAUAUAACUAGCAUAUACAUGAUUUGAACUUGUUGAAACCUCUAAUAAUCGUGCGUAAUUAACAUAUGCCAUACAUCAAUUGAUUUAUAUGGAUAAUCAAUACAUCCAAAAUAGUUUACAUCGUGUACACAAUAAUUACGGCAUUACAUCGGCGGUGACGGUUGACCGCACGUACUUUCUCCUCACUAUUGUUCCCUCCUUGUGAUCGCUGCGUGAGUAAGGGGUGUCUUCAUUUGAUAGGAGGAUGCUAGGGUCAAUCGUCACCGUGAAAGGGGGUUGCCCAUCCAACUGAUCGUAAUCCUCGUCAGUCUUGUCCUCAACUCCGACGAUUUUUCUUUUGCCUGGGAGAACCACUUGACGCUUAGGCUCAUCAGGCCCUCUGCCCUUCUUUCCUUUGCUAGACAUGUCCUUCACGAAAAAGACUUGCGUUACAUCAUUGGCAAGGACAAAAGGUUCGUCCGAGUAUCCAACCUUGUUAAGGUCAACAGUUGUCAUCCCACUGUCAUCAAUCAUUACGCCUCCACCAGUCAACCUAACCCAUUGGCACCGGAACAGAGGAACCUUGAGAGGACCAUAGUCAAGUUCCCAUAUGUCCUCGAUGGCACCGUAAUACGUGGCAGUUGUUCCAUCGUGUCCCAUGGCAUCGACACGAACAACGCUGUUUUGGUUCGUGCUCUUCAUGUCUUGGGCUCUCGUGUAGAAUGUGUACCCAUUGAUCUCAUAUCCCUGGAAUGUCGCGAUCGACCCAGACGGUCCCCUCGCCAGGAAGGCAAGUUGUUGGUUGAUCGACUCGUUACCCAUGAGAUGUUGUCGUAGCCACGCGGGGAAAGUAUCAAUGUGAUGCCGUGUAAUCCAUACAUCGGACUUACCGAUGUUCCUGGCGCGAACUAGAGCCAAGUGCUCCUCGAUGUAAGGAGCUACCAAUGAAGAGUGUUGCAGAACAGUGAAAUGGGCUUUACGGAAUAAAUUGUUGUCUACCGUCAUAAUUGCUUUCCUUCCGAGAGUUCCCUUUCCCCGUAGUCUCCCUUCAUGGCGUGAUUCCGGUACCCCGAUUGGGCGAAGGUCUUCGAUAAAUUCUACGCAAAAUUCGAUGACCUCCUCUGUUCCAUAACCCUUGGCGAUGCUUGCCUCUGGACGAGCACGGUUACGAACAUACUUCUUCAGAACGCCCAUGUACCUCUCGAAAGGAAACAUGUUGUGUAGGUACAUAGGCCCGAGAAUACGGAUCUCUUUCACAAGGUGACAAAGCAGAUGUGUCAUUAUAUUGAAAAAUGAAGGUGGAAAUAUCAACUCAAAACUGACGAGACAUUGCACCACUUCAUUCUGAAGGGCAUCUAAUCUAUCCGGAUCGAUGACCUUCUGCGAAAUUGCGUUCAUGAAUGCACAUAGCUUUGUUAUUGUUGCCCGGACAUUGUCUGGAAGGAUACCCCUUAUUACAACUGGUAGCAGUUGUGUCAUCAACACGUGACAGUCAUGAGACUUUAGGUUUGUGAACUUCUUCUCCUUCGUGCUUAUUAUUCGCUUGAUAUUCGUGGAGUAUCCAGACGGUACCUUUAUGCUCUCCAAGCAUUCAAACAUACUUUCCUUCUCUGCCUUGCUAAGAGUGUAGCUGGCUGGACUCAAGUAAUGGCUUCCUUUCUCCUUUGGUUCCGGGUGAAGGUCGCCGCGUUGUUCCAUAUGCUUCAGAUCAUUACGUGCUUCCAGUGUAUCUUUCGACUUUCCGUAUACACCUAGGAAGCCAAGAAGGUUUACGCAAAGGUUCUUAGUGAGGUGCAUCACGUCGAUUGCGUGGCGUACGUCCAAGAAUUCCCAAUAUGGUAACUCCCAAAAUAUAGAGUUCUUUUUCCACAUCGCCGCGUGACCAUCUUCGCUCUCUAUAUGCUGGCUUCCAGGCCCCUUUCCGAACACUACUUUAAGAUCUUUAACCAUAGCAAACACUGUUUUCCCGCUGCGAUGUUUAGGCUUCGUACGGUGGUCGGCCUUAUGUUCGAAGUGCUUGCCUUUCUUCCGUACCGGGUGGUUUGCUGCAAGGAAUCGACGAUGACCCAUGUAUACAACCUUCCUACAGUGCUUAAGAUACGUACUUUCUGUUUCAUCCAUACAGUGAGUGCAAGCCUUGUACCCCUUGUUGGACUGUCCGGAUAGGUUGCUAAGUGCAGGCCAAUCGUUGAUGGUUACGAACGGCAGCGCUCGUAGGUUAAACUCCUCAUGUUUGUCCUCGUCCCACACGGGGACACCUUCCUUCUUCCACAACUGUUUAAGAUCCUCGACCAGUGGUCUUAGGUACACGUCGAUGUCGUUACCAGGUUGCUUGGGGCCUUGAAUAAUAAUCGGCAUCAUUAUGUACUUCCUCUUCAUGCAUAGCCAGGGGGGGAGGUUGUAGAUACACAUCGUAACGGGCCAAGUGCUAUGGCCGCUGCUCAUCUCUCCAAAAGGAUUCAUGCCAUCCGUACUCAAACCAAACCGUAUGUUUCGUGCGUCCUUUCCAAAUUCUUUAAAUUUUCUGUCGAUGUUUCGCCACUGCGAACCAUCGGCGGGGUGUCUCAGCAUCUCGUCCUGUUGACGCUCUUCAGCGUGCCAUCGCAACAUUCUAGCAUUCCCCUUGUUCCUGAACAAACGCCUUAGCCGUGGUAUUAUAGGGAAAUACCACAUCACCUUAGCAGGAAUUCUCUUCUUUGUUAGCUGCCCGUCAACUUCUCCUGGAUCGUCCCGUCUAAUCUUGUAUCGUAGUGCUUUGCAAACAGGGCAUGCUUCUAGGUUCUCGUACUCCUCACCGCGAUAUAGGAUACAAUCGUUCGGACAUGCGUGAAUCUUAUGAACUUCCAGUCCUAACGGGCAGACUAUCUUCUUAGCCUCGUACGUUGUCUCGGGCAAUUUGUUUCCCCCCGGAAGAAUGUUCUUGACGAGUUUCAAUAAAUCGCCAAAUGCCUUGUCACUAACCCCAUUUUUUGCCUUCCAUUGCAACAACUCCAGAGUGGUAUCCAACUUUUUGUGCCCCUGCUCGCAACCUGGGUACAACGAAGUUCUGUGGUCCUCCAACAUCUUGUCCAAUUUAUGGGCCUCCUUUUCACUUUCGCAGUCCUCCCUGGCGUCCUGCAACAUUUGACCAAGAUCAUCCGCAACGUCGUUACCAUCAGCAGCUAUUUCCUCCUCGCCCGUUUGAUUUCCUUCAAAUCCAACAAAUUGAGCAAAGUCCGGAAUAUUGUCGUCUUCCACUUCAUCUUCUUCCAUUUCAACACCUUGCUCUCCGUGGGAUGUCCAACAAUUAUAGCUUGGCAUGAACCCCGACUCAAACAAGUGGAAAUGAAUAGUCCUGGAUGCAGAAUACUCCUUCUGAUUCUUACACUUAUUGCAUGGACAACAAAUAAAACCCCUUUUCCUGUUAGCUUCGGCCACUCUCAAAAAACAGUGCACGCCGUCAAUAAACUCUUUGGACCGCCGGUCAGCGUACAUCCAUUGCCGAUCCAUCUACAUGAGUCAAAAAAACCGUACACAAAUAAUUAUUCUUACAAUAAUGACAGUCAUACAAUAAUUAUAAGAUAUCUUUAUUCAUACAAAAAUCAUAAAAUAUUACACCAAAUAAUUCUUAAAAACUAUUUGUUAAGUAAUAAACUAAUUUUAAUGUGUUUUACUUCUUUUAAUUUUCAUUUUAGUUUGUUUUCUAUUAUUUAAGAUUAACUUUCACUAGAGUUUUCCUUCUCAACUAUUUUAUAAAACCUUGUUUAGCAAAUGAACUAAAUUUCUAUAUAUUCUUUCUUCCCCACACACAUUUUCUCUCUCAUCAACUUACAACUACAUUUUGGAGACAAAAAAAGUGUGCAAAACAUAGGUGCAAAUGUAGUAUGACAAAAAAAACAUUGGAGGAUGAAGUUGCAAACCUUUUAGGCACCUCCGAUUUGUAUGUAAUCACCAAAAUAAAUUCAAUAGAAAUUUUGGCAUGACCUCCCCUCUUUUUUGAAGAAAUUUUGAAGCUUGCUCGGGCAGCUGGAGGAGGAAGAAGACAUAUAUAUAGGGGUGGGACUUUAGUCCCGGUUGGUAGCACCAACCGGGGCUAAAGAUCACCGGGAUCUUUAGUCCCGGUUGGUAUUACCAACCGGGACUAAAGUUACCAUCUUUAGUCCCGGUUGGUGUUAUCAACCGGGACUAAAGAUACCGGGAGGGCCUGACAGACCCUGACAGCAUUCGAACCGGGACUAAAGAUCAUCUUUAGUCCCGGUUGGUAACACAAACCGGGACUAAAGAUCAAAUAUGCCCGUUACCCUUUUGAACCGGGACUAAAGAACAUCUUUAGCCCCGGUUUUUAUUGCAUCCGGGACUACUGUGGAAAUCGGCCGACCGACGAAAGAUGGUUUCUCCACCAGUGCAACUAGACCGAGGCCAUGUCCAGCGAUACUGACCGGUCUCAGCGCUGACUCAUCGUGCCGUUGUCACUAUCGUGCGUUAACGAUUUCGUCACCAACGUUGGUCUCUCAGCACUGAGUCAUCGUGCCGUUGUCACUAUCGUGCGUUGGUUUUAAGAUUUCGUCGUGAUUUCGCACUGUCGAACCACGAUAUACUAUUGUCCCAGAAAGAUAGAGCGAGACCACACGAAUAGUGUGUGACACCACUCAUAAUAGAUUAAAAUGGUGAUUCCCCGCGCUUUGCAACGAAAAUUAGUAACUUUUAAUUUUUUUUAAUAAUCGAGCUAAAAGUAAAAAUUAUAUUAGUUAUUAACGACAAAUAAAACUGGAUUGUCAAACUAUGUUAAGAGAGAAAUAAAUUUAGUAGACUCUGUAUGAGAUUGCAGAUGAAAUAUGAUAUCCUGUACUUUGAUUAUAUGGAUAAAUAUGCUUUAAAUAUUAUAAAAACUAGUUGGGUGUCCCGCGCAAUUGCGCGGAUAGCAUCAAUUUAAAAUUAUCUAUUUUUACACAUGAUUUUAUUUAAAAUUAUCAUUCCCGUUAUUCUAAUAAUUUUAUAGUUUUUAAAAGCCACGUCAGUCGCUACCCCUUACUUCUUUGACACAUUUUAUUUGGUUACUCGAUCUACCACUACUUCUAUUCAUCCUCUUUAGAACUUUACAAAUUAGGCCUUAUAGUUGUUAGAGUUCAUUAUCUUGUUGGGUUUCAUUUUCAUAAUUUUUAGAAGUAUCGUCAAACAUUGCCAAUUUACUACUCUACGGCCCGUUCGCAAGCACCUCUCUUUAUUGUCACUGGGAUUUUAAAAGUUGAAUAUAAUUAUUGUUUGUGUUCUAUUUUACUUUCUAUAAGUCUCGCGAAAUCCUUAGUGGCUUCACUACUAUACUCCUCUACAGCCCGUUGCCUCCCCCUCCUUGUUGUCAUUGUGAUUUUAAAACUCGAACAUAAUUAUUAUUGGGGUUUAUUUUUACUCUCCAUAAGUCUCGCUAACCAUCGUGACUAUGCCGCUUAACGGCAUGCCCAUCGUCACUCCUCUUAAUCGUUAUUGGGAUUCUAUUUGGGGUUUGGUUUAUAGUUUUUAGAUAUCCCAUCAACUACCAGCACUCUACUUUUUUACAGGCCUAUUGCUCCUCCCAUCUUUAUUGUCAUUUGUCAUCGUUAUGUUCUAGAUGGACUUUUUUAAAAAAAUAUUGUAUAUUAUUCAUUUCGAUAAUUUUUAUUCAUAAAUUAUAUUCCUACUUGAACUAUUAUAAUUAUUUUUCUAUUUUAAAAUGUAUUUUAUUUGUUAUUUCGAACUUUAAUUAAUCUUGUCAUGUGUUCUAGAUUGUCUCUUAUUUCAAUAGUCUUUAUUUUUUUUAUUACAAAUUUUAGUUAUUUAUAAAUUGUACUCUAGUUGAGAUUUUAUUUUUAUUUUUCUAUUUUCUGAAUUUAUUUUAUUUUUUAUUUCGAAUUUUAAUUAAUCUCGUAUUGUGUUCUAUAUAGACUAUUCUUUUAAUAUUUCUUAUUUUUUAUUUCCAAUUUCAUUUUUUUCAAAAUUGUAUUCGUACUUGAACUCUCUUUUUUAUUUUUUUCUAAUUUUAGAUUUAAUUUGAUUUUUUAUUUUAAAUUUUAAUUAAUAUUGUAUUGGUUUCUUAUAUGUACUCUUUUUAAUUUCGAAUUUUAGUUAUUUUCAAAUUGUAUUCCUACGUGAACUCUUCUUUUAUUCACUUUCUAAAUUCGGAUUUAUUUUAUUUUUAUUCUAAAUUUUAAUUAAUCUCGUAUUGGGUUCUUAUAUGGACUCUUAUUUCAAUAUUCCUUAUUUUUAAUUCCGAAUUUCAAAUAUUUUCAAAUUGUACUCCUACUUGGACUCUUAUUUUUUUUCUAAUUUCGGAUUUUAUUUUAUUUUUAUUCUGAAUUUUAAUUAAUCUCGUAUUGGAUUCUUAUAUGGACUCUUAUUUCAAUAUUCCUUAUUUUUAAUUCCGAAUUUCACAUAUUUUCAAAUUGUAUUCCUACUUGGACUCUUUUUUUCUAAUUUCGGAUUUUAUUUUAUUUUUAUUCUGAAUUUUAAUUAAUCUCGUAUUAGGUUGUUAUAUGGACUCUUCUUUCAAUAUUCCUUAAUUUUAAUUCCAAAUUUCAGAUAUUUUUAAAUUGUAUUCCUACAUCGACUAUUCUUUUUUUUUCUAAUUUCGGAUUUUAUGUUAAUUUUAUUUAGAAUUUUGAUUAAUUUCGUAUUGGUUCUUAUAUGGACUCUUAUUUUAAUAUUGCUUAUUUUUAAUUCCGAAUUUCAGAUAUUUUAAAAUUGUACUCCUACUUAGAAUUUUUUUCUAAUUUUGGAUUUUAUUUUAUUUUUAUUCCGAAUUUUGAUUAAUCUCUUAUUGGGUUUUUAUACAGACUGUUCUUUCAAUAUUGCUUAAUUUUAAUUCCAAAUUUCAGCUAUUUUUAAGUUGUAUUUUUACUUAGACUUUUCUUUUCUUUUUCUCCGUUUAAUGUGGGAAUUUCUUGUCUCCACAACGAACGUGGUGUUUUCUUUCAAGACUGUUUUAAUAAUAUAAUAGAUGAUGGAUAUAUAUAUAUAUAUAUAUAUAUAUAUAUAUAUAUAUAUAUAUAUAUAUAUAUGUCAAAUAUAUUGUGAAAUAUAAUAUGAAGGUAGAUGAUUGGAUGUUGAUUUGUAGAACUAGAUGAUACCCCGCACGUUGUGGCGGGACAUAGUGCAUACCAACGAAAGAGGGAAAACUCAAUGAGAACAUUUGAUCCAUCACAGUACAUGUAACAAAAUUCUAUGAGAAUAUUUGAUCAAUCACAUUUAACAAAUAAGUGAAAUUGUGUUCUUACCCCUCUUUUUAGGGUUUUUGAUUUUAUCUCAUUUGAUCAACCAUAGAAAAAGGAAUUUCGCAACAACAAAUGUUCCCUCUUUUUUAGGAUUUUUUAUUUUAUCUUAUUUGAUCAACUAUAGGAAAAAGAAUUUCAUGACAACAAAUUUUGGAAAUAAUAACUCAAUAAGUAGAAAUUCACUGAGAGAUCAUGAAAGUUUCGAGUAUUACUGUCGGAUAUAAAAGGUCUGAAAAUGUGUAAUGAUCAUAAACUUGUUUGUUGCACCUAGCUAUAAAUGACCACCUGUAAUAUUCUUUUCAGCUUGAUAUAUAUGGUUGAUUGAUGGAGAUGGGUUACAUUAUUUGACUGAAAUAAAUAAUACUGCAAUAAGAAAGAAACUAAGUUACGGAUACAACCUUGAAAUUUCUAAAAUAAUCACUUUAAUUGAAGAGGAAAACUGAAUUCUCUUCUGAAUCAUAACAUAAGUGAAAUAUGAAGGUACAUAUUAGUGAUCAGAUUUACAUUCCCAAUUGGUGAAGCAUAUAAUGUAUUGGCACGCUUAAUAUGAUCUACUCCAAUAUGAAAGGAGGGGGAAUGUAACAUAAAAUUUCAUAAAGGAUAAAAUAAGUGAUACAUGGUGUCACCAAUAGACAGGCAGACUGAAAGCACACCCAGUGAACUCAACAAAAAAAAAAACCUUUUGUUUUAAUUUGGUAAGCCAAUUAACUCAACAUGAAAGAAUGAGGGAAGAGAAGAAUGUACCUUAUCCAACUUGAAGAUUGAUGAGGAUAGAAAACAAGUGAACUAAACAAAAAAAAACCUUUUGUUUUAAUUUGUUAAGCCAAUUAACUCAACAUAAAAGAAUGAGGGAAGAGAAGAAUGCACCUUAUCCAACUUGAAGAUUGAUGAGGACAGAAAACGAAAAGUUGAGACCGCGCAGAAACACGAAAACGAAUCUUGAUCAGCUGGUGUUUGCAAUGGAACGAUGUCGCUGAAGGACCAAUUAGUAGUGGCCAUUUGCUAUAAUAAUCCCAAACCAAGACGAAGAUCGGCCAAUCUGCCAUUUUUCUUAAAUCAAAAGAGAAGAUUUGCUAGUGUGCUGCCACAAUGAGUUACUCCACCUAGCAAAAGGGGGAGGCCAGCCAAUAUAUGAUGUUGAUGGAAGCUACAUCUAAACGAAGCCACCGGAUGAAUCGGAGAGGAACCGAAAGCCACCCGCCGUGAAGGUCACCUAUAAUAUAACGACGCAACACUAUGAUUUAAAGGUGGGUGUCAUGACAGCCAUGAAACGUAGAUGACGGUUUCCUGGUUUGCCAUACAUGAAGAAGGCAUGAAGGCAUCACGCCGUGGAAUCUCAAUGAUUUGGGGGAGCGAUAACGAUCACGACGUUUUCUUUUCCUGCUGUUCUAGUUGAUGACUACGGGAAAAGAACGAUCUGUUUUACAUGAUGGCUGGACUGGUGUGGUGGACUUCAAUGGGCUUCAUUACAGGCCCGUCCACUAGAAGCCUAGGGACAUGACGUUAAACACUGAUCAAACCACACAAUUACAAUCUAAUGGUCCAAAACAAUUAAGUUGAUGUGGCAAAGCGAGAGAGCAGGAAAAUAGAAUUAGUGGGGAUGACUUGUAUAUGUAUAUAGGAUUCGGGGCUUGUUCACUUUGCUACCAUUUUCAACCUUAUCAAGUUUUGGCAAAGUUACCAAAAAAGUGGCUACAUUUAGUUUGUUGCUAAAUUUUAGUAACUACAUAUGAAAUCUUUGCCAAAAUUUGACAAUCUUACCAAAAUUUUGGCAACCUUACCAAAGUUUGGCAAUGCCAAAACUUGAUAAGGUUAAAAAUAGUAGCAAAGUGAACAAGCCCUCAAUGAAAUAUAGAUGAUGUUGCAUGCUUACAUAAAUUUAUAUGUAAUUAUUGCUAGUGCAUUAUGAGGUGAUAUGUUUGUAUGUUGAGGUUUAAAAUUAGUGGAUUAUAACUUAAGAUAUGAUUAGCGUCAUUAGCACUUAAUUAAUUAUUAUUAUUAUUUCUUUAAUUAAUACCAUUACUAAUUAAUUAAUUAUAAUCAGUAUGAUUAAUUACGUCAUUAGUGUCCAUUCCGGCCAUCUCGCUCGAUCGGCCAACCAACUAGACCGAGGCCAUGUCCAGCGAUACUGACCGGUCUCAGCGCUGACUCAUCACGCUUUUGUCACUAUCGGGCGUUAACGAUUUCGUCACUAACGUUGGUCUCUCACCACUGAGUCAUCGUGCCGUUGUCACUAUCGUGCGUUGGUUUUAAGAUUUCAUCUUGAUUUCGCACUGUCGAACCACGAUAUACUAUUGUCCCACAAAGAUAGAGCGAGACCACACGAAGAGUGUGUGACAUCACGCGAUCUCGCACGGCGAGGGCGCGUCACUGCACGAAUAAUAGAUUAAAUAGGUGAUUUUUCGCGCUUUGCUACGGAUAUUACUAAGUAACUUUAAAUAUUUUUUUAAUAAUCGAGCUAAAAGUAAAAAUUAUAUUAGUUAUUAACAACAAAUAAAACUUGUGGAGAGCAGUUCAGUUUUCUUUUGGUCUUUACCUUCCUCAUGGUAUAUCUCAUAUUUUUGAUAAUUGGCUUUUGGGGGUGGACAAAAAAAAAAGAAGAAAACUUGUUCUCAUAGGAGUAUCUGCUAUAUGUUGGGCUCUAUGGUUGAGUAGGAAUGAUGUCAUUUUUGACAAGUCACCGUCUAUUUCAUAUAUGCAGGUAGUUUUCAGGGCAACACAUUUGCUCCGGUCUUGGGCACAACUACAAAAGUGUGAGGAAGAUAGUGAGCUUUUAAAGGCUGCAUGCCGUAUUCUUGAGACAACGGUUAUGCAACUUUUUGUCAAUUUUGGAUGGAGGUUCACAAACAGAAUUCAAUAAUUGUGUACUCUUUAUCUUGGGUUGGCAGUCUUUAGGUUGUUUCUUUUUGAUGGUUGGUUUCAUCUUUUAAGUUUCUUUGAACUUCACUCAUUUUGAGUGUGAGAUUGUAAUAAUUGGCUGUAGCUCUUUGAGCGGCCAGGAUGCUCUACUCCAUUAUCUAAAAAACAAAUAAAACUGAAUUGUCAAACUAUGUUAAGAGAUAAAUAAAUUUAGUAGACCCUGUAUGAGAUUGCAGAUGAAAUAUGAUAUCCCGCACUUUGAUUAUAUGGAUAAAUAUAUGUUAAGUAUUAUAAAAAUGAUGGAUAUAUAUAUAUAUAUAUAUAUAUAUAUAUAUAUAUAUAUAUAUAUAUAUAUAUAUAUAUAUAUAUAUAUAUAUAUAUAUAUAUAUAUGUUAAAUAUAUUGUGUAAAAUAAUAUGAAUGUAGAUGAUUGGAUGUUGAUUCCUAGAAUUCAAUGAAUUAGAUGAUGCUGCAUGAUUACAUAAAUUUUGUAUGUAAUUUUGUAAUGUUGUCUUGUGUUCUAGAUGGUCUCUUCUUCUAAUGUUCCAUAGCUUUUAUUCUGAAUUGUAGUAAUUUAUAAAUUGUAAUUCUACAUGAAUUCUUUUUCUUCAUACUAAAAUUCCAAUUUACGAUUUUAUUUUUUUAUUCUCAAUUUUAGUUAUUCAUAAAUUGUAUUUCUACUAAAAACUCUCAUUAUUCUUUUAAAAGACCUCAUUUUCCCAAAAAAAAUUAAUUAAUCUUUUGUUUUGUUGGACUCUUCCUUUUUUUCUAUGAAUUUCGGUUAUUUCUAAAUUGUAUUCUACUGUAACUCUUAUUUUUCUUUUUAUCCGUUAAUGUAAAAUUUUCUAGCCUCUAGAGUGUGAUGGAUUUCUAUCGAGUUUUCUUAAUGAUAUCUAUACCAUCUAAAAAGAUGCUAGUGGUGGUGGUGGUUCUGCCACAUCCAUCUAUUUGACAAGUGGGGACCACCAUCUAUCUUGUGGAUCCAUCAUUGUUGACCAACAAUGUACUAGAGUGAGAAGCUCUAUUUGUUUCAUACACUGUACAACACAAUAUUUAUCCUAUCAUCAUUAAUCAGAGCUUGAGAGGUGAUGAAUUAGUUUUAGUUAGCUCAUAUAAUAUAAUUGGAGCUUGCUUCAACGCACAGGUAUUUUGCUAGUAAAAGAUAGAUAGAUAGAUGAGCAUGGCUUCCAUGUUACCUUGUGAUAUUCUAUGAGAGAAGUUUGCACAGCUCCAUUAAUGGCCCCAGGCUCCCCCUCCUUCCACUACUCGGCACUAGUUCAUUUGGAUUUGCUCGUUGCGUGAUUGAGGAAAGACGGUGAUUCAUCACCACUUCCACAAAUGAUUGGUAUUUGAUCUUGAAAUAUCUCAGACCAUUCACAUUACACCUAGGUGAUAUUCAGCCCCAACCUGUCACCUAGGAGAUUCCUCUCCACAUAGGCAACUAGCAUACCCCUAGGAAAAUCUCCGUCUCCGUAUGAGAAACGAGUGGCACUGUUAGAGCAUGUAGGAGAAAGAGAGAGGGGGAAAAGGACCUGGUAAAGUGCCACAGACGAUGAGGCCAUCGCCGUCGAGCUCCAUAUCCACCAUCACCACCUCAAUCUGCACCAGCUCUAGAGCAGGGUUGGAAAUUUCGGUCAUUUCAGUGACCCCCGAUACGAUAUUAAUUCGGUCGAAAUUUUUGAAUUUUUUUUCAUGAAUUUGGAUAAUAUUUGUUCAAAUUCAACUAAAUUUAUUCAAAAUUUUGGACCGAAAUUUCGGGAUUUCGGUGACCCCCGAUAGAAAACCCUAAACCGAUAUAGUGAACCCUGCUCUAGAGGGGUGGCCGGUGGCCCUAUCUGUGAACCAACAGUAACAGAGCAACACUAUCGGUUAUAUGCUUUUUCGCACCCAAUCCCACCCAAAAGUCCUAGAACCUAUCAGUAGGGAUGAAAACGGAUGGAAACUAGCUCUACUAUAUUCGUUUUCAUUUUUUUUGGGGGGGGGGGCGGGGGGGGUGUAUCUGAAUCGAACCCGGAUACGGAAAUGGAAUAGAAUAUUAUCGAAUACAGACUCAAAGUGAAUAUGGUAACAAAUAUUUACUAGAAAAUAAAACCCCUCAAAUUGAGCUUCCUUAAUCAAGUAAGAGAUAUCGCUUGUUAUUUUUAUGAAAUAAGAUAUCAACAUCUUCAAAAUUUAUAUUGUCAAUUUUGUAUGUAGUCUCACAAUCAUAUGUGAAAAUUUAUUUUCAUAGUUGUUCCCCUAAGAGACUCGUGUGUAAAUAUGAUUAUACACUUCCUAGUCCCAAGACCUCUUACUUCAUGCAUAGAUUACUUACAAUAUCACUUAUCAAGUUUUUGUUGUGUAGAUUGAAGAUGCUAUCUAUUUUAUUUCACAUCUUCGAAACUCAUAAAAUGGAGCACGUCUCCAUUUGAUGUUGUUUGAAUUGUAGAUAUGAGAUUUUGUAAAAACAAAUAUGGUAUUUUGUAAUGAAUAUCUAGACCCCCUAAAUGAUCUCAAAUAAUAAAAUUUUCAGCAACAAAGUUGUAGAUCCCGUCUAGCUAUACAAUUUUGAUAUAAAGUUUAUCAUCAUCUGACUUUGUAUGAAAAAGUUACGUAUAUAUACAUGUUUUUUCAAAAAAAUUGAUCCUUGUCUACGGAUAUCGAAAAAAAUCCAGAUAAUUUCCAACUGUUUUCUGAUUCCAACGGAUAGUGUCCUUAUUGUGUUUGUUUUUGUUUCCAAAAAAAAAAACAAAUUCGUUUUUGAAUCCAAAAAUAUGCGGAACUGUGUUCAACUGAACCUAUAUGGUUCCCAAAAAACAUCCGGACAGAGACCUAUAUAUAUGUUUCCCAAAAAACAUCCGGACAGAUGGAAAGUAUAUGUACCAAUUCCAUCCCUACCUGUAGGUUUAAGCCAUGAACCAACAUUAUUACUUAAAGUUGUGUAGACAUUAGUGAUACUCGAAUUGCUUUUUCAUAUGAAAUUGGUUAUGACAAACUUUACAUAAAAAUUGAAGAGAAUGAAGAGAUGAUGACACUUUUUUCAUUUGAGAACGUUUACAUGCUUGGAUAUGUAUUAGAAAUUCUCAAAUUUAUUGGAGUAGUUUAUUUUUAAAAAAAUUUCAAAUAACUUCGAAUGGAGAGAAUAUCUAUAAAAAUUUUAGAUCUUGAUGAGAUCUAUAGCUUCUUAGUUGACAAUAUUUUUGUUUGAAAUCAUUUAAUGCCUAAAUAUACCCAAAUGUGCAUAUACCGUUAGAUACAAAUCGGAGAGCUGAGAUUUACCGGUCAUUUAUGUAAAUAUAACACUUAAUUAAUCCCAACCAACCCAUCCAAACCUUAGUCCCAAUGCUACCACCACCCCUAUUCUCUCCACACCACCGCUGCCAUACCUCUCCUCUCCUACCAUCGCCUCCUUCCCUCUUGCACACCGUCGUCAUCACUACCCCCCCUCCGCCAGAGCGGUAGUGGCCAAUGUUGUGUGGAAGAGGACGAAGGGGCGGUGGUGGUGCAUGUGGUGGGGAGGAGGUAGUGGUCAAUCUCCUCCCUCUGUGUGUAUAUCUGUCUCCCUCCUAAGAUCCUGAUCGAGUAGGUGGCUGUGUGAUGGGGAGGAUGACAUCAGGCGGCGGUGAUGGGCGAGAAGGACAAGGGGGCAAUGGCCGAUGUUGUGGGCGAGGACGAGGGAGUAGUGGACAGUAAGGUGGGAGCUAGAUCAAAUUGGCCCCGAGCUAGGGAUUGCCAGAUCUAGCCCAUGGCAGUGCGGUGACGACAGUAGCUCGGAUGAUGCAGUGAGGACGGUGGCUCCUGUAGCACAUGUGCGGUGGCCGGUAGAUCCGCGACAGGCACCGAUGGAUCUGGUGCCACCGAGUUCGUCGUACUGACAUCGUGGAGGUCUUGGAGGAGUGUCGCCGACCAUGUGAGUUUAGUUGAUAUUUUUUAGGUUCAUCAUUGGAUUGAUGUCGAUGUGAAAGAGAAAAGUUUGUAUUUGUGAGAUUUAUAUGUUGGAUCUCUAGAGAAAAAUUUGUAUUAAAGUGCGCAGCUACUGAACGCGUAAAAAACUGAAGCAGUGCAUGAAAAAAAUGAGUAUAAGCGGUAACUUUCGUUUAUCAGAAUUUUAUUGUAAUUUAUAGGAAUUUUCACGACGAUGUUGAGUACUUCAACGGUUGAACCUCAUCAUAUACUUCCACCACAUUUUAUAGGAAUUUUGUAGGACCUGUAAGAGGUCAAUCAAUACUAACAAAUGGCUUUAUAUAUACACAGGAGAGAGAAGCAUUUCAUUUGUGAGAGCGACCGCACCGUGUGAAGAUUUUUUUUUUAAUUUUUUAGACAUUUUUAUUUUUUAAUUUUAUUAAUAGACCUUUUUAAAAAGUAUUUUCAGAUCUAAACCUUUUCGCCCACGCCACGUGCAACUGUCAUGGCAGUGCUAUACUAUCAUGCCAGCCUCUUGCCACGUCACCGUGGCUGGCGUGGCAGGACAACGCUGUGGCCAAAAGGUUUAGUUCUCGAAAAUAUUUUUUGAAAGGUCUAUUAAUAAAAUCAAAAAAUAAGUCUAAACAAUAAAAAAAAUUCCCACGUGAACGGCGACUACCAUAACUCAUUCCAUUGUUUUAAGUCACAUAAUUAAUCGAGGGCUGCUAUACAACAGAAUCUGAUUGGGACGGGAUGAUACCAGUUAGAUAUCAUGUCUUGGUACCUCUGAGGUAUCAUGUCUUAAUACCUAACCGGUAUCAGGCGAUUCCUAUCACAUAUCAGGUGAUACCUGUCAGGCAUCAGGCGAUUCCUACCACGUAUUAGAUGAUACUUGCGAGAUAUCAGGAGCCAGGCACCAAAGUGUCGUCACUAGUGGUCCCAUCGUCCACGUCCCACGCCUGAGCUCGUCGGCGGCGGUCGCAUCCUCGACAGUCCACACCACAAUGGAGCUUGUCCCCGGCGGCCGCUCCUCCGUCAUCCACACCCCACGCCAGGCUCGUCGCCGGCGGCCGCGUCCUCCGUCGUCAACGCCCCACGUCGGAGCUCGUCGUCGGCAGUCGCGUCCUCUACCAUCACGCCGGAACUCAUCACCCGCAUCGCUGCAUAUCUUCUCCGGUGGUGUGCUCCCCGAUGGAGCAGCGAGGCGAGGCAGCAUGGGCCUUCUCCAACGAGCUCCCUUCUCUCCCUUCUUCCUCCGCUGCCCCAACGCUGCUCCACAGCCGCAUGCAUGCGCUCGUGCUCUAGGGAAUGAGGAGGAAGACGAUACCGUCGCAGGUGCUAGAAACGGGAUACCGGUAUCUAGCUUUUCCGAUAAUUAAUUGCGAAAAUCAGAGGCUGGCAGUAUAUAUUCACAUCCCACCACCAUACGGCACCACCCCAGCGAGUUAGCCUUCCCCCGCGAGGCAGCAAGACCAAUAAUUGAAGCCAUCAGUUGGGGGCCAUUUACAAGGCAGGUGGCAAGUGAAAUACAUCUCAAGAUUUGGAUGGAGAGCUAUCACCAGAAGACUAGAAGCUCAAGAUUUGGAUGGAGGGCUGGCACCAGAAGAAUAGAAGCUUGAUGGAAACCUUGGUCAUCUGGAGAGUUUUGGGCUUCAGCAGUCACUUCUUUCUGCUGGCUUGAUCACGUUUGUGUUGAGGAUAGCUUUGCUGGGUCACUUCUGGACAUAGGUCCUGUUUGAUCGUAAUUUCGGUUUCGGUCUUUUUUUUGUCCUUUGUUUAGUUUCAGCUUGGGCUUUCAUUCCCUAGUUAAAAAAAAAAAGGGGGGCCAUGACUGAGCUCGCGUCUGGCGCCGUGAGCUCACUGCUGGCGAUCAUCCGCAACGAGGCGGCUCUUCUCGGUGGCGUCCGGGACGACGUGCAGUUCAUCAAGGAGGAGAUGAAGAGCAUGAACAGCUUUUUGGCGCACUUGGCGAAGAGCGCUCCGCAGGGUGGAGAGCACGACGAGUUGCGGGGAGGCAAACCUGAUAAGAAUCAAGCAACAUGUGAACCUGAUGUUCCACCUGAUAAGAAUCAAGCAACAGGUGAACAUGCAGGUGUAAUGGAUCACAAUGGAGAGGCUUAUUUUACAGAAAUAGAGCAGAAGAUUGACGAAAUCAAGCAGGAAUUUAAAAAACAGCUGAAAAUCAAAGGGAUUAUGGACAAGAUCAAACAUCACUUGAUCGAGUACAAGAUCAAACAUGACUUACCGAAUGAGUGCCCCCUCAUUAUCCUAAAAUUUGAUGAUAUGAUGGAUGGAUCCAGAUGGGAGGAGUUCAACCUUGAUUGGACAAUGGGUUGCAGAAGGUUUGACACUCAAGGAAGAUUGGUCCAGUUCUGUGCAUCAGGCAAAGAUUUGAUGCCCUCAUCCAUCGGUAUCUUGUUUGUCCUGUUGAUAUUGGUGGCACAGGAAAGGUGAAGAGCUGUGUGGUAAAUGAUCCAGUUCAUGGGUUCAUUACCACAAUUGCCAGAAAACAACAUAUUGUGGAGACACGCCUAUCACAUCAUUUGGCUCGCCACUUCUCCAUUUUCAAUGAUCUUCGACUCCGCAGCUCUGAUGGAAUUCACACAUUCUUCCAAAGCCUCUCACGAUCAUCUCGAGUAUCCCUACUAAAGGUGCUAGAUCUAGAAGGUUCUCAGUGCUUUGGUGUUAAGAACCAGCGGUACCUCAAGGACAUCUGCAGCAAGAUGUUACUGCUCAAGUAUCUGAGCCUAAAGAAAACAGAAAUUACCCAACUGCCCAGUGAAAUCAACUGCCUCCGUGAGCUAGAGGUAUUGGAUAUCCGAGAAACUAAGGUGCCUGCAAAUGCAACGGUUAAUGUUCUGCUCUUGAAGCUAAAGCGUCUACUUGCUGGUCACAUUGAUUCAAGUCCAAGAAAUUCUGGCACUAGCGUUCAGAUUCCUCACAGGAUAGACAAGAUGGUAAACAUAGAGGUACUAUCUAAUGUCAAGGCCCAACGCCGUGAUGAUUUGGAAGAUACUGGAAAGCUAUGGCAGCUAAGGAAGCUAGGUGUGGUUGUUGAUGAUAAGAGAGGUCACCUUGGGAAUUUGCUUAAAGCAAUCAGCAACCUACAUGAGUGCAUCCGUUCUCUGACAAUCACUAUUUCCACAACCACACACAAGGAUACUCCUUCAAACCCAGAGUUACCAGAUCAUAUUGGCUCUGACCUUCCCCAUCCCAAGAAACUUGAGAGUCUAAGCAUCAGUGGAGCCAGGCAUCUUUUUCCAUUGUUGAUCAAAAGUGAUAAUAACAAGCUUGCCAAGGUAACUCUAAGUAGCACACCACUGAACCAAGAUGAUCUGGAGGUCCUCGCCAAGCUACCCAAGUUACAGUGUGUUAGGCUCCAACACAUUUCAUGCAUAGUGAGUGAGCUCAUCUUCAAGGAAGAAAAUUUCAAAUGUCUCAAGUACCUACUUAUUGAGGGCUUUAACUUGACUAAUAUCACUUUUGAGGAUGGAUCAGCCUGUGAGCUCGAGAAAAUGGUUUUAUCUUCCACCAGCAUAGAGUCUGUCUCUGGAGUUGAUGUGCUUCCGAAAUUCAAAGAGCUUGAGUUGAACAACAGCCAUGUCCCGAAUGAGUUGAAAGAAGCCGUUGAAAACAAUAAAAGGAUAAUUCUUAAAUGUAAUGAACCAUGAACUCAAGACCAGGCAAAACGGAGAUGAACAAGAGGAUGAAGACAAUGCUGCAACAUCCCCAUUCUGCUGGAAGAAACAGGUUUGUCGCCAGCGGAGCAUAUCUCCUUUGAUCCCAUGGUGUGGUUUGUGUGUGCUAGUGUGGAUUGCCAUCUGCUGCUUGUCUGUUUAUUUCUUUCUGCUGUGCGUGAGCGUGUCUUUAUGUUCUGCAUGAUGUAAUAAUUCUUGUUGUACCCUGUUUUUUUCUUCCUUACUCUGUUUUGGUCUAUUUCCUAGUUCGAGUCAGUGUAAGCUCAAGUCUUGAUUGUUCAAGCCGGAGCAAGUCCUUAGCUAGUUGGCACAACAUGCACUGGCGUGUGGGAUGACACACGAUUCAGCGAGCAAGUUAGCUGUGUCAUUGGUGCGGCACGCCCUGACGUGCGGGAUGGCGCACGAAGUGGACGGGCGUGGCGUACGUAGUGGCUUGAAGGCCACAAUUUCAUUUGCGUCUUGUCUAUUUAAGUUUCAAUAUAAUCGAGAAAAUGCUGCCACUUGACAGCACCAAAAAAUCUCUUCAUGUUCGAGUUCUUCAUCAUCAAGUUCAGAGCAAGUUUGUUUGUUUGGUUUGUUUCUAACACUCCAUGUGUUUCAACUGAGUGUGUCCGGUUACUUGCUAUGCAUAAGUGCCUUGUGCCUCUAAUUGAGCUAAAAUGGUCGUGUCUCUGCUCGGAUUUGCAUUUGUGUGGUUUUCAUUUGUCAAACACCAUAUGCAUUCAUGGACAUUUUUGUGUAAUAAUAAGUAUAAUAUUUGUUUACACAUUUGACUUCUAAUUAAUAUAAUGUGUGCUACAUUAUACAGUUUUCUUAUUCCUGAAAAAGGAAAUAUUAUGCAGCAUGCUUGACUGGAUUCUGAAACUCAACGAUGAACUGGGUAAAUGGGGGAAGCAAAGUUUUAUGCAGAUUACUUAUGCAUGAUCUGCAAUCUGUUUGCACCUUCCGAUUGCACUGCUAGCAGUAUGCAUGAUCAAGGAAAAACAGACGUUGUUUUCAGUCGUAUGUUAUCGUGCUUUUGGUUGGUCCAUGUGGUUUCUCUCCGUUUUUUUUAUGAUGGAGAAGCAAGUAUAGUUCAGAAGUUAAUAUAACUGAGUCCACGAUUUAGCAAGCUGCAUGCCUUGAUCGAUGGGGAAGCCAGGUCUUCAGACAAAAGGAAUGAUUUGUGCAGGAGGACAGCUUCAACCAAGCAUUUAGCUAGCGAAGCAGCGGAUAUAUGCAUGCAUACCGGAGUUAUAAUAAUGAGCAGGAAUAAUUUUCAAGCAGUGAGACUACCAAGUGGCAAUUACCUUGCAUCAAUGGCUGUCUUGGCGUGAUCGACAAUGUUGAAAAACUGGAGGCUGGAGUUGUUGGGGACGCACAUCCUCCACCAUGUGUUCACCAUCAAGUCAAUCAGCACCCAGCCUUUACAGCCCUGAACGGUGUUUAAGGUGUUAUGUGUAAUCAGCUACAAGUACUCGCUCUCCUCUGCUCCGGAAUAGACGUUCUAGAAUAGGGACCUGAUGUCCUUUAUAUAGAUGAGAACUCGAUAGUGACGCUUCUUUCUUCACCUUUCCUUCCAUGACCACUUGAUCUGAGUUCCUCCCAUUCUCCCCACCAAUGAGCAUCUCCUUUGCGCCUCGCCCGCACCCUGCCUUCCUCCUCCCAUCUCCAGCGGCUCUGGCUUAACACUUCCUGCUGCACUAACCCAAUGAGCUGCGACACCCCUGCCCCAACACUGCUCACACAAUGGUUGACAUGAUGCUAGCUAUAGUUUAAGAGGUUUUCUUAUUAGAACCAUUUAUAAAGAUAUAACAAGAUUGGAAGCAAGCAAUAGUCAAACUGCCAUCCUAACUGGAGUGUAAUUCACUAGUAGGCUAGUAGAUACUAGAUACUAGAUACUAGCUACAAUAGUUUAGUAACAGGGCCAAGUACAACAUGACACCAUAACCAACCAUGGGUCAGUAAGCAUGGCUCAAGUAGGAAAUGCAAAAUAUCCCAAAAGAAUUUGAGAAGAUAACUAUCAGGAUAUCACUACAACAUAGAAGAACAGUUUUAAUUGUUGGGUAGUCAAACAAAAUAGAAAAAAAGGUUAGGAGAGUAAAAAAAAAGGGGGAAAUUACAAAGUAUAAAAAUGAAGUACAAACAGAACAAUGGAUACUACAAAAACUAUAGAUAAGUAGUUCAUCAUGUGCCCAAUCAUGAUGUGUUGAGUGUUGACAAGAAGCAGAAAGGGGUAGCAAGGAGAUGAAACAGCAGAUUAUGUGUAUAAUUACUACAAUUUUUUACUAUUUCUAGUUGUCCAGAGGAAAUCUGAUAUCACAAUACUUUCGUUGUUUACAUUAAUUUCAGUGCAAAAAGAACAUUUAUAUUAUCUGAGCCUAAGAUAUUCUUUGCAUCUGUGUUUGGAAAAUUUAUACUUCAAUUUUCAGGUUCUUAAAAGAAAACUAAAAAUGACAAGUCCCGACACUUUCAGAGAAGAACCAAUAGCGAUGUCUCUCCUAGACACUCCCUAGUUUACAUGGGGAGUAAUACAUUUCAUGGAGUAUGCUGUGAUGUUCUAUCCACAUAUACAAAAAGAAGAACAAGGUCAUAUGCUGAAACUCGGUUCAGUAAAUAUUAUAACAUCUUAUGGCUAUGGAACCUUCUUAACCAAAGUAUCCAAAAAUAUAGAAAACUAUGGUUCAUCAAACUAACAUGACAGACUGAAAGUUUAGCAACACUUUUAAAUAUUUAGUCCACAUGAAACACUGAGAAAUCAUCCAUACUUGACAAUUUUCAAGAGAAUUCCAACGAGCGUACAAACUCACUGUUACUGUCAAAACCCAAAGUUGAUGCCUAGUGAUUUAACUGAGCUCCCUUUUCUUCUGUGAGGAACUAAAGGUCCAUUUUAACCCAUAGCACUAGUUAGGAAUCUUCACCAAGACAACUAAUAACAGGGAACCAAGUCCACAGGAUGAUCAACACAUUAGUCUAUAGAUCAGUAUAAACAUCAGAUUUCCAUGAUCCCAAAGUACACAAUCAAUUGUUGGUUGUAGGGUGUCACAUCCUGAUUUUUGUUUCAGGAUUUAUAAAUUAUUAUUAGAAUUUAUAUUAAAUGUUCAUUAAUUUGCAAGUGAAGUUAAAUGUGGGAAAUAAAAUUUCCUAAAUUUAAAGCAUGGAUAGAAUUAAUUUUUAUUAAAUUUUCCAUGAUUAAGUGUACUCUCUGAAAUUUUCUCGGAUUUUUUCGGAGCUCAAUUCCUAAAUGAUACAAAGAACACAUCGGUAAUUAUUUGAUCAUUAAUGAUCUAAUUAUAAUUGUUAAGAGCUUUUCUUGUUCAAAAAUCCUUAAAUUAUAAAUUGUUGUUUAAAAGGAAUUAUUAGAAAUGAUCUUAAAAGCCUAAAAGAGAAGAUCUAAUUUUAAUUUGCUAAAUCUCAAUAUAAAAUUGGGCUAGAUAAAAUUUUGUUAAAUACUUCUCUUGAAUCUUUAGUUCCUAGAUUUUUCUGGGAUUUAUUUGAGCCAAGAAAGUAUUUUUAAUAAAUGGAAUUGCAUUUCAUGAAUAAUUUAAAUUGAAAAAGGUUUUUAAAAGUCUUCUUUUGGCUUUGGGCCGAAAGUCGGCCCAAAACCUUCUCUCUCUCUCUCCCCGGCCCAAGCCGGCCCAGUCAGCCCGCAGCCGCCCGCGCGCGCGCGCUCGGCCGCUGACAGGUGGGUCCCACCUAUCGGACUUGUCUUCCUCCUCGCGCCGUCGCCCGGCCGGAACCCUAGCCGAGCCGCGCCGCCGUCUCCUUCCAAAUCCGGCCGCCCCUUUCCGUUUCCGAUGGAAUUAAUAGAGGGGAAAUGAUCCCCGGGAUCCCCUCUAUCUUUUCUCUUAUGGAAUCAUCGCCUAAUUCGGUUUGGAAAUCCGUGGAUUCGAUCUCGAAUCGGAUUCGUCUCUCUCCUCCGAACCCUAAUCUUUCCUUCUCGUCGCCGGUCGCCGUGGGCCUUCGUCGCCGCCUUCCAACCCCUAUAAAAGGACCCCCAAGCCCGCCGCUACCCGCCGCCACCCUCGUCUUCGUCCGCCGUCGCCCGUAGAGCCCUAGCCCCGUGAGACCUCGCGCUGCCGUCGCCGCCGCAGCUCCAGCCGUGCGCCGCCGUCGCUCCAGUCGUCAUCGCUGCUCGGGAAGGUCGCCGUCGUGGUCGCCGUCGCGUCGCCGUCCUCGUCCGCCCCUCCGCCGUCGCUGUCGACCGCCGGAACACCGUCGCCAUCGUCGAGCCGAAGAGCGCCGCCGCUUCUUCCUCGUCGCCGACGUCGUCCGGUCAUCUUCCGCCGCUGUUUUGGUCAUCAGUGAGUUCGCCGCGUCGCUCGCAUCAUUUUGGUGCUCUCCGUUCGCACUGCCGCGCCGUUGUUCGCCGGCGAGCUUGCACGCCCGAGCCGCCGCCGGUGGUGACGUCACCGCUGACGUCAUCGUCGUCGUCUCCCGUGGUCCGGCCGUGGACCGGUCGAUCUUGGCCGUCCGUUGUGGAUAGGAUCGAUCUCGGCCGUUCGUUUCUGUGAGCCGCCGCCGUGCACCCGGUCCACCGCGAACCUAGCCGCUGACGCAAUAAUUCCCUUUUCCUUUUCAAAAAUAAUUCAUUAUUGCGUCAUAUUUCAAUUAAAACCCAUAUAAGUGUUUUAAUCCGAUUUAAUCUUUAAAAAUUCGUAACUAAUUCAUCUUAGCUCGGAUUUAGUUGGUUCAAGUCUCUAAAUUUUUCUAAAAUUGAGAUCUACAUGUUAAAAAUAUCCACAUGUACUGUUCAUGCUUGUUUAUGUGCUGUUUUGGUGUUUUUGCUCUUUUCUGUUUAGAUUCCGACGUUUCCGGAGAGUUCGUUUUCGCAGGAGAAGAAUUUGAAGAGUUCCAAGGCUAGCAAGGCAAGUCACACAGAUCCCAAACAACCCUUUGAGCAUGUUGAUCCCGUUUAAAGCUAUUGUUUCUAUUCAACUAUUGCAUUUAUUUUCGAAUGUCAUUGGGUGGAAUUAACCUAUUGUUUGUUAUAGCCCUUUCGUUCUUGAUUACUUUAUUCCUUGAUACCUUGGGUUAUUAUAACUUGACUAGUUGAGCUUUAUAUAUUGGUUCAGCUAGAUAUUAGAUAUGAUUGCUUAGCCAUGAUUAGAAACAUUAGCACACUAUUGGGAUAACUUAUGACUCACUAUUAUUUAAUGAUGGCUUAAUGAUAGUUCACGAUGGUCAAUCGUGAUUGAUUAAUUAAUUAAAUUGGUAAUUAAAAUAUGAUUAAUGGUGGGUUGUGAGCACAUGGUUUUGAAGGUCGUGCUCAUAGCAAUUAAGGACCGGUUCGCGAGCUACUGUUGUGAAACAUUAACCGUGCCAACCACAAGCCAGCGUGGGCAACGGCUUUACCUUUUGUAUAGCAUGAUUCAUUGCGGAGCACCAGACUGAGAAGUGGCGGAGAUAAGCCCACGGGGGUCGCUGGGGAGUCCAUGCCUUGUUUAUAAGGGGGUGAUUAUGAUCCAGGAACGGUGCACUGUGGUGGAUUGUGUUGUGCGAGGGGUACUGUCACAGCCCCUUUCCGAGGUACCGUGGUGGUAUUGAGGCACAUGGUGACAUGUUGUGGGGCUGUGUCUCGUGGGUACAGUGGUACACCUCUGGCCAGAGUAAAACUAUUCGAAUAGCCGUGCCCGCGGUUAUGGACGGGUUGAGCAAUGUUUUUCGUGAUUAGUCUCACACCUCUCACAAUAAUUAUUGAUGCUAUAACUGGUAAUAAUUUGUUUAGCUCCUGGUUUGGAGUUAGAUCUGUACAGCCGGAUAUGGUUGUUCAGGAUGGUUGGGCCUGUGCAGCAUGGGUGUGCUGUUCAGUGUUGAUUAAAAUUUCUGAUUAAUUACUCUACUGUUUUACUACUCUUAACUCUUUGCUAAAUGCUGCUUUCGCAAAUGAGACUAUAUUGUGCCAUCCUUUGGUAUCCUUAUGCAUUUGCAUAUUUGCUGUGUGGCUUGUUGAGUAUGUCAUAUGCUCAUUCUUGCAAUAAUCAAUCAACCUCAGUUGAAGACAUGUUGCGAAGGAGAAGACGUUUGGCUUAUACCCCAGUUGAGCUGCCUGUGGGAGUGGAGCUGAAGCCAUCGCUAGACCGUUAGUUCCGCUGCUGUUUUUCUUUUCUUUUGUAAGUAUGUAACGUUAUUAUUAUGAUGGAUUUGUAUAUUAAAUUGUCAGUUUGUGUACCUCGGCUGAUUCCUGGACGAGGAUUUUAUGCACAAAUUAGUUCGGAAAUUAUUAGUGAAUUUCCGGGCGUGACAUAGGGCAGGAGUUACAUUGCCAAUAUCUACAGCAAGGAGCCCCUCUGAUCUUCACCGUUAGAUAAUUUACUCUUAACACAUUAAUUAAGGGUAGUAAACUACUUAACCACUGAAGACAUCAUGAUUGCUACUAGUUUACAAUCCCAAUUCAUAUAACUUAAAUGCAACCAUAUUAGUAUAGAGUUAAUCUCGGAUAGCAAACUCUACUGAUUAUUCAAAGCUAUGAAGGAUCAUUCUAAAUCAGAAAUAUGGAACACGGCAUCCAAUCCACCCACCAAACGUCACUAAUUCACCAUAGAACCUACAAAAACGACAUUUCUCACCAAGCAAUGCACGCUAGUAAAUCAUCUCAAGCUCAAAAUUAGGAUCAGGAAACCAAGCUGACUAAAUCGAUCAUUGCGAUGGCACCCUUCUAGCUCUAAACUAACGCCCAAAUCCUCAUCAGUCAUCACAAAAAUUUAUGAGAUGCGGAGCAAUUAAAUUGGCACGAAAUGAAGGCGAGGCGCCUCACCUCGGCGAGCCACCGGUCGUCCUCGGCGUCGGCGAUCGCGAAGCCGGUCCACCCGCCGGCGCCGUCCUCGAGCUCUCGCACGAGCCCCUGCAGCGACGCGCACAGGCGGAGCCACGGGGAGUAGAACUCCAGCACGGCCGCGUCCCUGCCGCCCGCCAGCGCCCGCUGCUCCACCUCCGCCGCCAACCCGGGGAUCCUCCUCCUCCUCCUCACCCCCACCGCCGCCUCCUCCGUCCGACGAGGGGGAGGGGAGGUCCCCGGCGACGAGGCGGCCCUGCGCCAAUGUGCGGAUGGACUUGAAGAGCCAGGGAAGCUCGAGGUCGCCGCAAGGCCAUGGCCACUUGAAGCAGACGAAGGGAGGGGGGCGUCGCGGCGGCGGCCAUCUCUCCGGCGAGAGAAGCGGUGGAAGCGCCGACGAGGCGGCGGCGGAUUGGUCGAAGGCGUGGGGGAUGAAUGGACGGCGC